rnacentral:tRNA from 2 species
AUAUAUAUAGCUUAUAAUUAGAGCAUAAUAUUGAAGCUAUUAAGGAGAUAAAUUUAUCUUUAAAUA